rnacentral:RNase_P_RNA from 1 species
AAAACAGGCUGAGAUGGUUGCCCCGGUGUUCAAUUUUGAAAAACAAAAUUGAAGUAACCUCGGGGAGGAAAGUCCGAGCUCCACAGGAUAAUGUACUCAGAUAAUACUGAGCCUUGCUCACGCAAGAGGAUUAGAGCUACAGUGACGAUGCCUUUGAUCAUUCAAAGGAGUGAAACGAGCAAUCUCUACAUGGAGCAAUGCUAAAUAGGCAGAAAUUUCGCAUCGACUUUGUCGAUGCUUAAACGAAUUGAUCCGGUUCGUCGAUCUGCGGGUUGGCUGCAAGAGUUUAAGGAGUAAUCCUUAAAGUAAGUUGAAUAACCAUCCAUCAGUAAUGAUGAACAAAACUCGGCUUAUGAACCUGUUUUUUUG